rnacentral:rRNA from 1 species
UACGUAGGGGGCAAGCGUUAUCCGGAUUUACUGGGUGUAAAGGGAGCGUAGACGGCUGUGCAAGUCUGGAGUGAAAGGCAUGGGCUCAACCUGUGGACUGCUUUGGAAACUGUGCAGCUAGAGUGUCGGAGAGGUAAGUGGAAUUCCUAGUGUAGCGGUGAAAUGCGUAGAUAUUAGGAGGAACACCAGUGGCGAAGGCGGCUUACUGGACGAUGACUGACGUUGAGGCUCGAAAGCGUGGGGAGCAAACAGG